rnacentral:rRNA from 1 species
AUGGCGGAGGCUGCAGGGCCGACGCCUCUCCUCCACGGCCUCCCGGACGAGAUCUCCAUCUGGGAGAUCCUCGUCCGCCUUCCCCCGAAACCCCUCCUCCGCUGCCGCGCCGUUUGCCGCGCCUGGCGCCGCGCCGCCUCCGCCCGCGACUUCCUCCUCGCCCACCACGCCCGCCAGCCCUCCCUCCCCCUCCUCUUCGUCGACACCGACGACCAGUCCUCCAUAGACAUCAUCACAUGCGACCAACGCGCAGCCGACGAGCUCCACUCCGUCGCCCGGCUUGACGCCCCCUCCGGCGUCUCUCUCAGGGCCUGCUGUGACGGCCUCCUCCUCUUACGCACCUGGAAUAAGGGUGUCCCAUCUCUCUCCAUCUGCAACCCGGUCACUCGUCAAUACGCUCCCCUUCACCGGCUUGAUGACUUCAGGCUCUUGGGGAUGUACCCACACAGCCCUACGGGCCAGUACCGACUACUGCUGUACCUGGCCCCGAGGUUCGAGGACGAUGCUCAAAGAGGUUCCUACGUCUUCACAUUGGGCUCCGGCCAGCAGCCGAGGCACAUAGCAGGCCCUGAUGCCAAGGAACUGUUGUAUUUCCGCGGAUCUACCCUUUUCCGUGGUAGCCUGCAUUGGCACACGGACGGGCUGAUAAUGGUAUUUGACACCACCGCGGAGUCGUUCCGUCAGAUGCACUCUCCAAUUGUUUCUGACCACCGCAGUGGCGACCUGUUUGAGACGAGUGAUAUGCUUGGCAUGUUCAGUCUGAAUGCACAAGCUACAAUUGUUGAUAUCUGGGUGAUGCAGGACUAUGAAGGUGAAGUCUGGGCCUUUAAACGCCGGGUUGCAUUGCCGAUCGCAGAGAUCAUGGUGCAAUUUCAAAAUUCUGGAGAUUGUUGGGAGCUAAUGCCUGCAUCUUGUCAUGGUGAUGUGCUCCUGCUGGCCAAAUUUGACGACGACUGGCUACUUCAGAUUGGCAUUGAUGGCAAGUUGGUUGCUAGUCUCCACCGCAGUUUCCUCCGUCCUACUCGACUUCGGCUCAAACAGUCUCUAGUUUCACAUAACUUGUUUCUGGCAUUAGAGGGUUAUGUUAUCAAUUCUUCGCCUUUCAUCUGA